rnacentral:misc_RNA from 1 species
GUUGUCUUUGACACCUGUAUUCACCUGAGAACAUAGGCAAGAGUAAUUUAGUGUGACAUAUCAGAUUGCUUCAUUAGUAGGACAUACCAUGGAAAAAGCAUUUGCCAGCCCCAAUAUCUCUAUAUUUUGGUAAAGUAGGGAAAAAAAAUUUUGGAUCAACAUGUACCAAAUGCAAACAACUUGUUGUAAUCACCGACCCAAACAUUAGAUGUCUAAAGUAAACAUACACAGUAAUUUUUAUGUAAAUCAAAAUAAUUAUGCUGUCCGCAAGUUUCAUUACAUUGAAUGAAGUUAUUAUGCAACAUUAAUGCCAUAAGAUAAUAGACGAACACAAUUGAAAUACAGUCUAGUGACACCCCAAAUUUUUAUUUUAACCUGUUAAACACCUCAAUCAAUAUUUUUGUACUUAUUGCGUACAAAUUUGUUUGGUUAAUGGAUCACGUAAAUACUUGCACACAAAGGUAAGUGAAAAUUGUCAUAAAAAUGCUAACAUAGCCUUUUAACAAUGCCAAUGUGUUCAAGAACUGUCAUUUGAGAACGGAUGAGAAGUGAGAGAUAUGAUGGACAAUGAGUUUAAAAGUUCCAAAGAAAAAAGGAUAAUGAUGUAAGUAUUUUUUGUUUUAUUACCAUGGUGUAACAAAUGCAUGGAAAAUUUGUUUAACAAAGGAUAUAUUGGUUUCAACAAUAAAACUAUAAGGGUCAAAUAG